rnacentral:rRNA from 1 species
UGGGGAAUUUUGGACAAUGGGGGAAACCCUGAUCCAGCCAUCCCGCGUGUGCGAUGAAGGCCUUCGGGUUGUAAAGCACUUUUGGCAGGAAAGAAACGUCGCGGGUUAAUACCCCGCGAAACUGACGGUACCUGCAGAAUAAGCACCGGCUAACUACGUGCCAGCAGCCGCGGUAAUACGUAGGGUGCAAGCGUUAAUCGGAAUUACUGGGCGUAAAGCGUGCGCAGGCGGUUCGGAAAGAAAGAUGUGAAAUCCCAGAGCUUAACUUUGGAACUGCAUUUUUAACUACCGGGCUAGAGUGUGUCAGAGGGAGGUGGAAUUCCGCGUGUAGCAGUGAAAUGCGUAGAUAUGCGGAGGAACACCGAUGGCGAAGGCAGCCUCCUGGGAUAACACUGACGCUCAUGCACGAAAGCGUGGGGAGCAAACAGGAUUAGAUACCCUGGUAGUCCACGCCCUAAACGAUGUCAACUAGCUGUUGGGGCCUUCGGGCCUUGGUAGCGCAGCUAACGCGUGAAGUUGACCGCCUGGGGAGUACGGUCGCAAGAUUAAAACUCAAAUGAAUUGACGGGGGUCGAUANCU